rnacentral:rRNA from 1 species
AAUGAACGCUGGCGGCGUGCUUAACACAUGCAAGUCGAACGGAAAGGCCCAAGCUUGCUUGGGUACUCGAGUGGCGAACGGGUGAGUAACACGUGGGUGAUCUGCCCUGCACUUCGGGAUAAGCCUGGGAAACUGGGUCUAAUACCGGAUAGGACCACUUCUUGGAUGUUGUGGUGGAAAGUUUUUUCGGUGUGGGAUGAGCUCGCGGCCUAUCAGCUUGUUGGUGGGGUAAUGGCCUACACAGGCGUCGACGGGGAGCCGGCCUGAGAGGGUGUACGGCCACAUUGGGACUGAGAUACGGCCCAGACUCCCACGGGAGGCAGCAGUGGGGAAUAUUGCACAAGGGGCGCAAGCCUGAUGCAGCGACGCCGCGUGGGGGAUUACGGCCUUCGGGUUGUAAACUCCUUUCGCUAGGGACGAAGCGUUUUGUGACGGUACCUGGAGAAGAAGCACCGGCUAACUACGUG